rnacentral:lncRNA from 1 species
UUUGCAAGAGAAAGACAAAUCUAGGUUCUUUUUUCCUAUGUAGGUUUAACAGGUCUACACACCAUAAAAAAUUACCUGAGUGAGAAAGAUUAGACAUCUGUGAUCCCCAGCGAUGCUGCCUAGCCUAUGUCUCACUGCUCUUUGAAAACUCCAUGUUUGUCACUUGUGUCAUGAUCCUCCUGUCAAUUUUCUGAUAUAUAUAAUCCAUUUUUUCCUCUCCAUUGACUUUUUCAUGAUCAGCUUGUAAAACUGAAGAUGACACAGACUGUUUUGAUAGGACCUUCUCCUGAGUUGGCAAAAUUCAAAUAAGGCUUAAGAUGAGUAAGAAGUCAUUCAUGAGGGAACAUGCACCUGAUAUAAAUAUGAAACGAAACUAUAUUUCACCCUGACAAGGUAUUUGAUUUGAAAGCAUCAUAAUCCUGGCAUCCUGGGAGUCAGACUUUCCAUCUGUGACGGUACUUGGCUUACAAAAAAUAGAAGACUCUGUUCAAGCAGGAAAUAGCAACUCAUUACAGGCAUGACAAAAUUGAGAAUCUAUAUGAGUCUGAUACAUGACUUAGUUUGCCAGGAGAAGAGAGGAGAGAGAAAAGGAGGUAGAAGUAAACUGUUGGCUGUUUCCAGCCAUGGCACCAAAGGAGAGUGGAAAUAUCUGUUCCAAAUCUCGCCUGAUUUGCCUCACUCCUUCCUGAAGGAUAUGGAUGAAAACACAAGGUCCCACUCUUUCAUAUAUUUCUGGCAUUUCUUUCUCAUUCCCUGCCCAUUUGGAUGGCUGCCUCCUCCUUCAAGCAUUUUCUUACAAGGAGCCAGAUUUUCUUUCUCCCCAGGGAUUAUCUCAUCUCCUUUCAUCUAGUCUCAGCUGCUCUAGGACCCUGAGUUGGUUUUCUGCUCCAAACUGAAGCUAGACCUUUUUCAGUCCCCACCUGUGACACAUUUUUUUCCAGCAUGUCCCAGUCUUCCCUUUAUUGCUGUUCCUAAACAGUCAGGAGGUUUUUGGGUUAGUAUCUCCCUAUAGCCCCACGUGCAUGGCCAUUGCACAUCCUUCUUCCCUACGCAGACAACCCUAGACUAUAGGAGUGAUUUCUCCAGGUUUUUUCUAUGUUUUUACUGACAAAUUUUCUGCCUAAUUCUGUUUCAAAGACCUCCACACCAGUGUAGCUUUGGUCUUCUCUGACCUACAGUCAGGCAGUUUCUCUCUGCCAUCUCUGUGCCUGUUUUCUGUCCUGAUGUGAGGUUCCAAGCCCUUGGGUUGAUGCAUGUUCAGUCUCUCUUCAAAGCUGGCCCAUGUCUGAUGUUCAAGAGGCAGCCAGGAUAGUGAUGAACUAGCACAGACACUGAGGAAUGUCUCUUCAGAGAUAUCAGCUACUAAACCCACUGCAGAUUGUAUACAAACCAUGGUAAUAUGAAAGCAAUUUUUUUUAAAUGCUUGCACAGGAAGAGGUAAAUGCCUUCCCCCAACACAAAAGCCUGACUGUGUGAAGAAAGUCAAACCAUGUACUUGAAGUCUGACAGAACUAAAAGCUUGUUAAGCAGAGCAAUAAGUGGGAAAUUUCAGAUGUUCCUAUUUACAAGGCAGAACAGGGGAGAAAGGGGAAAAGGAAAGAGGCAGUGUCAGCCCUGUCUGUGGUAUCCAG